GUUUGCACUCAUCGGGGAAGGGUGAGAACCUUCGACUAAGGUUCGAUUCGAGCGAAAGCGAGAGAACGUUGCCACAGGCAACG
rnacentral:sRNA from 1 species